rnacentral:lncRNA from 1 species
AGUUAAAGAAUUUACCAACCUUACAGCCACCGUUCCCGGGGGAACCAUUAAAAUUAUACAUAGCCGCAUCCGACAAUGCCACUAGCACGGUACUAAUGACUGAAAGGGAUGGUACGCAACGGCCAAUUUAUUAUUACUCGCGCACAUUACAAGGAGCAGAGAAGAAGUAUCCACAAAUUGAGAAACUGGGGUUAGCAAUAGUAACAACGGCAAGGAGGUUAAAACCUUAUUUCCAAGCACACCCAAUAACCAUCCCAACAGAAUUUCCAUUGUUACAGUUGUUGCAUAAGCCAGAUGUAUCGGGCAGAUUGACAAAGUGGGCUGUGGAAUUAAGCGAAUUUUAUAUAAGUAUAGUACCAGCAAAAGCAAUCAAAGGACAAGCAGUCGCUGAUUUCUUGGCAGAAUUUACACCAAGUGGGGAGGAAGUUGAGAGUUGGUGGAUUAUUCAUGUUGAUGGAUCGGCAGGUAAUUCUGGAUGCGGAGCAGGAAUAAUAAUCCAGACACCUACGAAAGAAAAGAUAGAACACGCAAUUAACUUUAACUUCAAAACAACAAACAACGAAGCAGAGUAUGAAGCACUAAUAGCAGGAGCACAACUAGGAAAAGCGUUAGGAGCCAGAAGGGCAAAAUUUCAUACGGAUUCACGGUUAGUAGCAAAUCAAGUCAAUGGGGAAUUCAUGUCAAAUGAAGAAGGGAUGUGUCGAUACACAGAAGCAGCACGUGACACAUUGCAACAUUUCGCAGAAUGGGAACUACAUCACAUAAGCCGCACGGAAAAUAAAGAGGCAGAUAUUUUAGCAAGAUUGGGCGCGUCCCCAGGUGUGCCAAAAGGGCGAUGGGUUCGAGUAGAACAUCAGGAAAUGCCAUCAAUAGCAAAAAGUGAAAGAAACAAAAUCCUUACAUUAGCAGUAAAGGAGGAUUGGAGAGUACCAAUAAAAAAUUACAUUACAAAAGGAAUAGUCCCGACGGACGCGAUGGAGGAGAGAAAGUUGAGAAAUAAAGCGGCC